rnacentral:rRNA from 1 species
GAUGAACGCUGGCGGCAGGCUUAAUACAUGCAAGUUGAACGGUAACAUUUUGUAGCAAUACAGAGAUGACGAGUAGCGUACGGGUGCGUAACACGUGUGCAACCUACCUUAUACAGGAACAAAACGUUGAGAAAUUAGCGCUAAUAUUCCAUAAUAUUAUUGAUAGGCAUCUAUUUAUAAUUAAAGCUCAGGUGGUAUAAGAUGGGCACGCGUUCCAUUAGCUAGUUGGUAAGGUAACGGCUUACCAAGGCAACGAUAGAUAGGGGUUCUGAGAGGAUACACCCCCAACUGGAACUGAGACACGGUCCAGACUCCUACGGGAGGCAGCAGUAAGGAAUAUUGGGCAAUGGAGGCAACUCUGACCCAGCCAUGCCGCGUGCAGGAAGACAGUCUUAUGGAUUGUAAACUGCUUUUAAAGGGAAUAAUUUCGAUUAUGUAUAGUUGAUUGCAGGUACCUAUAGAAUCAGCAUCGGCUAACUCCGUG